AUGUAUUACAAAAUAUAGUAGUCCAUAAAUUUGUGAUAGAAACAUUUGGCUGUUCUUGCCUCAUUGAUGGCGUAGAUGCCAAAUUAUUGAUGCCAAAUGUUUUGUUUUGGAACUAACAUCCUGACAGCAACAUCUAUACUAUAUUAUAAUUCUGAACUCUCAAAAACUUGUAACAUAGUUGUGACAAGUGGCACUCUAUAGUUCUUACAUGUGGACUUUUCAUACCUAUUAAUUCUGUCAAAACUAAAGCGUUACCAGACUGGAAAUCGUGCGCAGCCGUUACGCGUUAUGCUAACAUGUGGACUUCUAAAAUUCUAAAACACUUUAGGAACUCUUAAAUGACAAAUUUUAAAUUUUCAAAACGUUUCUCUAAACCAAAAUACUCUUCUACAACAAAUAGAUCUUCUAUUUAUAUUGCACCAGCAGCAGAAUGGUCCCUUUCCCUGUUUUUUUUGUAGAAGAUAGAGAAGAAGAAAUAGGGCCUCUUUCUAUAUCUAUUCUUCAGCUUAUACUUCAGAAAUCACUAUUUUUGCACUGUACCUUUCUCUAAUCUACUGAAAGAAGAAGAAGAAGAAGAAGAAACGGAUUGUGGGAUAAAGAUAUGGUGAAGGUUCUCCCCUAAGAUUACUGAAGAGCGGUGAAUAAGGAGAGAGUGAAGAGGUUUUGCUCUAGAUAGAAAGUGGUGUCCACUUACCACUGCAUUUGUUCGGUAACAUCGUUUCUAUUUCUUUCACUUCUUACUAACUUAGUGUUGUUUUUGGUGUUGUAAUUUUAUGGUUUCAGACGAUGACAAACAACACUAUGUUGCUUAUUGAGGAUUAUUGAUCCUAAGAUUUAUGACUCAUUGAAGUCAAUAUUAAGAUGGGCGCACAACAAAAUAAUGGUUACAGCUUCAAAUAAAUGUUUGGAAAAGAAAACAAAAGGAUAUAUCCAAAAAAGGGAAGCUCCCUUCAAUUUUUUUUUUCUACAUUAGUUUCAACAAUCUAUAGAAUUACUUAAAGAGGAAGCUAAAAAGUUAUGGUAAUGGCAGCAACCACUGUGUUAUCUUUAAUAAAUCACCUCAACCACCGCCUAAGAUUGAUGGCCUUUGUCUUGGUGCACUUUGAGAUCUUGAUCUAGCUUUAGCAGACUCUGUUCCAGCCAUGUAAUUAGGAAAUGUAGCAUUCCAGGUAUUGCUAUUACCGCUAUCACUAGCGUUUUGAUGCAGAUUGCCAGUGUAGUGGUAUGUGGACCUUAGGCUUGGUGUUUGAGAUGGAUUGUAGAUUUUAUCUUCUCUUAUGCAGCGCGCGCUUGCUGACCGCACUUAGAGUACAGGCCUGGUUUUGGACGGAGAUGGUGUAAUGAGAGAAUGAUGGGCUCUAUGUAUUGGAGAAUUUGGCUGGUGCUGCUGCUGGUAGUGUUGCUGUUAAUGAUGAUGAUGAUGAUUUUGUUUUGUUCUUCUAAAAUUAGGUGGUGUUAAAUAGGAGUAAGGCUGAGAAGUGUCUAUUUCUAAGGUUUUAAUGGGAUCUAUUUAAUCAGUUGAAGCUCUUGCUCUUGUAGCCAUAUUCCACCGGUCAAGCCGCUGCGGUUUUUCUUGCAGCUCAUCCACAUUGCCUGUUGAUGGACUCCUACCAGUCCUCCAAAUCUUUAGAAUAGCAAAAAUAGAACCAAUCAGCUAAUAAGAAAAACAGAGGAAACAUGUGCAAGAAAGGAUCGAACCUGUUGAGAAAAAGCAUGAGAUGGCGUCUUUUCUUGCUUCAUUGCAACUGCUUUCCUGUGUUGUAACAUGGCCUUCACUUCUUCAAUUGUGUGCGCCUCUCAUCCCAAUUAUCUGCUAUGUUACUUCCUUCUCUUGACUGCAAUAGACAUUAAUUUAAUAUUACUAGAUACAAGAGACAAAUAAAGAGAUAUACGAUUGCAGAUUUGCGUUAUGUGGUUCAACACAGGUCGAUAUCUAAUUCAAUUUA